UUUAGCAGAGAUGCUUUAGUGCCUUCGGGAACUCUGAGACAGGUGCUGCAUGGCUGUCGUCAGCUCGUGUUGUGAAAUGUUGGGUUAAGUCCCGCAACGAGCGCAACCCUUAUCCUUUGUUGCCAGCACGUAAUGGUGGGAACUCAAAGGAGACUGCCGGUGAUAAACCGGAGGAAGGUGGGGAUGACGUCAAGUCAUCAUGGCCCUUACGAGUAGGGCUACACACGUGCUACAAUGGCGCAUACAAAGAGAAGCAACCUCGCGAGAGCAAGCGGACCUCAUAAAGUGCGUCGUAGUCCGGAUUGGAGUCUGCAACUCGACUCCAUGAAGUCGGAAUCGCUAGUAAUCGUAAAUCAGAAUGUUACGGUGAAUACGUUCCCGGGCCUUGUACACACCGCCCGUCACACCAUGGGAGUGGGUUGCAAAAGAAGUAGAUAGCUUAACCUUCGGGAGGGCGUUUACCACUUUGUGAUUCAUGACUGGGGUGAAGUCGUAACAAGGUAAGCGUAGCGAG
rnacentral:rRNA from 1 species